rnacentral:rRNA from 1 species
CAGGCGCGAAACCUUCGCCCUGUGCGAAAGCGCGAUGAGGGGAUCCCAAGUGCUUGCUCGUAAGAGUAAGCUGUUUUUAUGUCUAAAAAGCAU